rnacentral:rRNA from 1 species
AUUGAACGCUGGCGGCAGGCCUAACACAUGCAAGUCGAGCGGAGCGGCGGACGGGUGAGUAAUGCCUAGGACUCUGCCUGGUAGUGGGGGAUAACGUCCGGAAACGGGCGCUAAUACCGCAUACUAUCAGAUGAGCCUAGGUCGGAUUAGCUAGUUGGUGGGGUAAAGGCCUACCAAGGCGACGAUCCGUAACUGGUCUGAGAGGAUGAUCAGUCACACUGGAACUGAGAGACGGCCCAGAGUCCUACGGGGGGCAGCAGUGGGGAGUAUGGCACAAUGGGCGGGAGCGUGAUGCAGCGGCGCCGGGUGGGUAAUGACGGCCUUCGGGUUGUAAACGCCUUUCACCAUAGACGCGGUAGAUGGAGAAGAAGCACCGGCUAACUACGUGCCAGCAGCCGCGGUAAUUC